rnacentral:rRNA from 1 species
AGGAAAGUUGAAAAGAACUUUGAAGAGAGAGUUCAAAAGGGCGUGAAACCGCUUAGAAUAAAACGGACGGAGCCGUCAGUGGCCUUCCGGAAUCAGUCGUACGAUGCGCGAUGACGUUGUCGUUCGCUAGAGCGAAAGUCUAGCCGGCGCGUUUGAAUAUAGUAGCGUUCGUUCGAUGCAUUUCCGGAGGGUAAGCGCCGCGACCGAUGCGAAUGGGCUACGAAAUCGGCUUAUUGCGGUCGAUGUUUCGCCUUCGGGCGGAUCGUCGUUACCAGUUUGUCGAUAUAUAAUCGUAGUACUUGCUAGCAUCGUUUAUACGUAUAACGCCGGCGAAUAUAAAGCGCGCUCGCUUAAGCGAUGGAUAGUCGGCGGAUUCGAUCGACGCCUGCUCGCAGGUUUCGUUUCGAUCUCGUUCGAUUUUUGAAAUCGUCUAGCGACGUUCUUACGGCGUUUUGGCGUCCGCGGCGUCCGAGACGGUCAACCGUCCGACCCGUCUUGAAACACGGACCAAGGAGUCUAACGUACGCGCGAGCUAAUAGGUGGAAAACCUAUAAGCGCAAUAAAAGUAAAAGCCGUCUUUACGGCGGUGUUGGGUACGAUCCUAUGCGCCGAUAUUUAACGAUAUCGCGCGCUAGGCGCAGUACCAUCCCGUCCUAACCGCUCGUCGGUAGGGCGGAGAUUGAGUGCAUACGUUGGGACCCGAAAGAUGGUGAACUAUGCCUGAGCAGAGCGAAGCCAGAGGAAACUCUGGUGGAGGUUCGUAGCGGUUCUGACGUGCAAAUCGAUCGUCAGACUUGGGUAUA